rnacentral:rRNA from 1 species
UACGGGGGGGGUAAGCGUUGUUCGGAAUUACUGGGCGUAAAGGGCUCGUAGGCGGCCAACUAAGUCAUACGUGAAAUCCCUCAGCUUAACUGGGGAACUGCGUGUGAUACUGGAUGGCUUGGAUGUGGGAGAGGGAUGCGGAAUUCCAGGUGUAGCGGUGAAAUGCGUAGAUAUCAGGAGGAACACCGGUGGCGAAGGCGGGUCUCUGGGCCGAUACUGACGCUGAGGAGCGAAAGCGUGGGGAGCGAACAGG